rnacentral:rRNA from 1 species
UGGGGAAUUUUGGACAAUGGGCGAAAGCCUGAUCCAGCAAUGCCGCGUGUGUGAAGAAGGCCUUCGGGUUGUAAAGCACUUUUGUCCGGAAAGAAAUCCUCUGGGUUAAUACCUCGGGGGGAUGACGGUACCGGAAGAAUAAGCACCGGCUAACUACGUGCCAGCAGCCGCGGUAAUACGUAGGGUGCAAGCGUUAAUCGGAAUUACUGGGCGUAAAGCGUGCGCAGGCGGUUUUGUAAGACGGAUGUGAAAUCCCCGGGCUUAACCUGGGAACUGCAUUCGUGACUGCAAGGCUAGAGUAUGGCAGAGGGGGGUAGAAUUCCACGUGUAGCAGUGAAAUGCGUAGAGAUGUGGAGGAAUACCGAUGGCGAAGGCAGCCCCCUGGGCCAAUACUGACGCUCAUGCACGAAAGCGUGGGGAGCAAACAGGAUUAGAUACCCUGGUAGUCCACGCCCUAAACGAUGUCAACUAGUUGUUGGGGAUUCAUUUCCUUAGUAACGUAGCUAACGCGUGAAGUUGACCGCCUGGGGAGUACGGUCGCAAGAUUAAAACUCAAAUGAAUUGAC